UUACCAGUGAAAACACUGCGGUAACAACGCAGCAGCAGCAGCUGCAGCUCUCAGCCUUUUUCCGGGCGCACGCGAGGUGAGUCACAGUCGCCGCGCAGCGCGCGCGCGCGCAGACAUUUGGGGACAGCGCGCGCAGCAGCGGACGAGACGCUUUAAACGCUCGUGCGUAAUCCUGUCCUCGCGUCGGAACCGCCUCGGUGACUGGAACUCGUCGGAGGAUCACUCUCUGGGGCAGGUUUGAAUGUGACGCGGGAGCGCCUUCCGGACAACUUGGGCCCGUGGCACCGGAGACGACACGACGACAGCUGCUGCCGGAGCCGGAGCCGGAGAGAGCAGCCUCCUCCCCGUCGGCUCCCCUCCGCAGCCGGCGGACGCGCGGGGAGGAGACGACAGGUCACGGUCACGAUCAAUGAGUGGCGAGAAAAACCGAGGCCCUGUAAAAGAAAAAAUCAUUAGCUGUGGAUCGAAGCGGGAGGAGCCGCCGGAUUUCGGGCCCCGGGCCGGGAAGAGUUGGCCAUCUUCGCCGUGAAAUACUGACAGUGAGAUGGGUUUUGACUUCAGCCACUGGCACGAACAAUUUGGCCAACAAGUGGAAUCACGGGCAGACAGACUGGCGAUCGCGGCAGCUUCAUGGAGGGCUACCUGACAUGCUGCUGAAACCAUGAUGGAGGGAGGAGGCGAUAGGCCAGUGACCCCCCCCCCCCCCCUCACUUCGCUGCGUGUUAAAGAGCAGGUGAGAAACAUUAAUAGCCCUCUGCUCCACACAUGUGGGCCAGGAUAUGAGCUCGCUGGAGUUCGCCCACUCUCAACAUCGGUCACUAAUGUUAACACUGUCCUCUCUGAGGCACGGGAAACCGUUGGUGGAAUCAGCACCGAUUGUUAUGUGGAAUAAAAGCUUCUUCUUUUUCUUUUCUCUUUUUGCAAUUAUUAUCGUAUGAUGUGAACGGUAAUGCGUUUAGCCUUGAAGCAGUGCUUCCCCAACGUCUUGGCUGGCGACCCCUUUAAAGCAAAGCCAGGUUUUACAUGUUGCAUGAGUUUCAAGCAGAUCGACCAAAGAGAGAUUGUUAAAUCUGUUUUGUUUGUUUUUUUAAUCAUUGUUGGAAGUCUGGAGAGGUAAAACUUUCACAAUAAAACGUCUUUGCAGUAAAGAAAAGCAAAAAGGAAGAAAAAGAAAAAAUCCAACAGAUUUUUUAGAAAUAUUAUGCAUGUAUGUGUGUAUAUAUACUUGUAAUCAGUACUUGCCCUUGUUUUACCCACUGGCUUUGAACCAAUGCUGUCAAGUGAUAAAAAAACUCAUUUUCCACCAUCUUCCAGCUGCGAUCAUAAGCCCACUGAAAGCCGACCGCAGUACGGUCUGUUGAGUGGACAGUAUUAAUGAAGGGAACAUUGCAUUUUCAUAGUUCCGGUGGUUGGACUGUUUUUUGGCAAAUUCUCAUUGUGAAUGUCACAGUGCCCUUUUAAGUAAUGUUCUGGUUGCACUUGAAUAUGGAAAUAUCUCUGCUGUAAAGAAAAAAUUUGUUUAGCGCAUAUGCGCCUUGCCGGAUCAUUUGAAUUCCCCCUCAGCUCAGGCCAUCAACCGGAUGACCCAGCCGUCACAUUGUGCUCUGAACACAAAAGGCUCCAGUCACACCGGCGAGGCGUCCCGGGGAGCGUGGCGUGUGUGUUUGUGUCUUCUGUGAAUCAUAGCCGCUGCUUUGUGCCCGGUGAGCCGCGUCAGAGCGUGUUACCUGCAUGAACAGGGGACCCGAGGGGACUCUGUUCUUAAAGACUGUCCUUUGGGGUGAGGUAGUAGGUUGUAUAGUUUUAGGGUCCUGCCCUUCCUGUCAGAUAACUAUACAACUUACUGUCUUUCCUGAAGUGGCUGUAAUUUCUUCAGAUGCCAUUGUUGGAGCUUUUGGAUCCGGAUCGACUGUGGAAUGUGUGUUCACCUGCUUACCGCUUGGAAAAUAACAUUUCAUUUUGUAGUUACUUCACGUGGGUUUCUCUAGAUCUCUAGAUUUUCACAUUUUUAAGACUUCACGGUCAAUAAAAAAAAAAGGAUUUCUUGUGAGUAUAGUUGUGUCUUGCUGGUUCUAUUUGUGCCGAGCAAGCAACAAAAAUCAGCACAUAAUAUAUUGAUGAUACUAACUGAAUAUUGUGUGAAGUUUUACACAAAUCUGAUCCCUUGUACUGUUUUAAAUUGUGGAGCUAGUCAUUGUUAUUUGUUAUAGCCAUAAUAUGGCUAUAUGUGUUUUUAUCAUCACAAUGUAUGACAAUGUAUUUGUUCGCUGUUAUGAAAUGUCAUCUGCAUAUGUCACUCUACCGUAACGCCGUCCGGUGUAAGUCAACAACACAGCUUGUAGACUGUAGGACCUCUCUGGUGUUCGUACGGGGUGAGGUAGUAGGUUGUGUGGUUUCAGGGUAGUGAUUUUGCCCAAUCAGGAGAUAACUAUACAACCUACUGCCUUCCCUGAAGGGCAGCAAUACUUCACCACGUCAUCAAGUCAUCUCCUACCUGGACCACAGGCAUCCACAUUCAGUCAUGGCCGCAGACGAGACCAACAGGUAAAGUCUGUUCACUGUGGAGUUUGUAGUUGGAUUUUUGACUUUCUGCUUCAACAAUAAUAAUAAAAAAAAUAAUGAGACCAUGAA